UCAACUUUGCAAUCAUCUAGGUGUUUCUCUUGGUGGUGUUUCUGAAUACAGGAAAGCCUACGUGCGCUACAGCUGGCUUUGCAGAUGCUAUCUUCCUACCCAGAAUUCAUUUCGCCGACAGUGCUUCGGUUCAUUCUUUUGAGUCGUUAAACCGGACAAUAUUAUAAGUGCCAUGUAUUCACAGUGAGACGUAUUUAUCAAUUUGUGCAUCUGAUUAUCGAUGACACCUAAUGGGCAAGAAAAGCAUUGACAACCUGCUAGUGGAACAUAACCUGGAGAGGGACAUUGAUAUGAACCAGCCUGCUGCAUUGGCACCAGCAGCCAAAGACAGAGAACUGGAUCGAACACUAGGACCAUCCACAUCCACAAACCUUUGGGCUUUGAUCAGAACCUUACUGACCUUGGAAAAGAACGUGGAGCAUGUUCACCGAAAGCAAGUCCAGAACUUUCUGGAAGAAAGGAGAGGGCGAUGGGAGGAGGAGAAAGAGGAGAGGGAGCAACACAAACACCUGAGAGAGGUGGCUGACCUGUUGUUACAGGCUUUGGUGAUGAGGGAAACCGCUCCAGCUAAGCUAUCAAGCCUAAAGGAUUUGCCUCAAUACAACAUACACUGACUGGCUGUGAUGGCAGACAUUUUGUUUGAUGUGAAAACAGCACCUUCCUGCAACUUUGAAGAGGGAGGACAACAUAUA